rnacentral:misc_RNA from 1 species
GAUGAAGAACGCAGCGAAAUGCGAUACGUAAUGUGAAUUGCAGAAUUCAGUGAAUCAUCGAGUCUUUGAACGCACAUUGCGCCCCCUGGUAUUCCGGGGGGCAUGCCUGUCCGAGCGUCAUUGCUGCCCUCAAGCACGGCUUGUGUGUUGGGCCUCCGCCCCCCGGCUCCCGGGGGGCGGGCCCGAAAGGCAGCGGCGGCACCGCGUCCGGUCCUCGAGCGUAUGGGGCUUCGUCACCCGCUCCGUAGGCCCGGCCGGCGCCCGCCGGCGACCCCCCCCAAUCUUUCCAGGUUGACCUCGGAUCAGGUAGGGAUACCCGCUGAACUUAAGCAUAUCAAUAAGCGGAGGA